rnacentral:rRNA from 1 species
AUUGAACGCUGGCGGCAUGCCUUACACAUGCAAGUCGAACGGUAACAGGUCUUCGGAUGCUGACGAGUGGCGAACGGGUGAGUAAUACAUCGGAACGUGCCUAGUAGUGGGGGAUAACUACUCGAAAGAGUGGCUAAUACCGCAUGAGAUCUACGGAUGAAAGCAGGGGAUCGCAAGACCUUGUGCUACUAGAGCGGCCGAUGGCAGAUUAGGUAGUCGGUGGGAUAAAAGCUUACCAAGUCGACGAUCUGUAGCUGGUCUGAGAGGACGAUCAGCCACACUGGGACUGAGACACGGCCCAGACUCCUACGGGAGGCAGCAGUGGGGAAUUUUGGACAAUGGGCGAAAGCCUGAUCCAGCAAUGCCGCGUGCAGGAUGAAGGCCUUCGGGUUGUAAACUGCUUUUGUACGGAACGAAAAGCCCCGGGUUAAUACCCUGGGGUCAUGACGGUACCGUAAGAAUAAGCACCGGCUAACUACGUGCCAGCCGCCGCAGUAA